AGAGCUUUGAUGGCUACAGAGAGACCAUCUGCUGGGGGUGAUGGGAAGGAGGGAUCACCAGGAGUCGAGGUGAAGGGAAAGGAGACAUGGCCUUGCCAGUUCAUUUUUAAGAAGAAGUUGGUCCCUCACAUACGAAGACAUCAACCCUUCAGCGAUCACAUCUUUUAUUACGAUCAGAUUACAUACUUGGACUUGACUGAUCAGGUCUGUCAGAGGCUGUAUGUCCUUUGUGGAGAUGCUACACAAUUCAGAUAUUCCUCAAUCACAUUGGAAAUGUGACUGUGAACCACCGAAGAAAUGGCCAGACUUGCUAUCAAAGAUCACAGCCUACUGAGUGAGCACUUGUCCUUUGGUAUGUGUGGGGUUCGGUUUCAGCUCCACACCAAAGUCCAUGGAUACUGGUCUCUUGUAUGAAAUGGUGUCAUAUUGUCAUGUUUAGCGUAACCUACACAUAGUCUUCUGUGUACAGUUUAAAUCAUCCCUAGGUUAAUAAACUACAACAGCAAUGCAAA